rnacentral:rRNA from 1 species
UACGAAGGGGGCUAGCGUUGCUCGGAAUCACUGGGCGUAAAGCGCACGUAGGCGGAUUGCUAAGUCAGGGGUGAAAUCCUGGAGCUCAACUCCAGAACUGCCUUUGAUACUGGCGACCUUGAGUCCGGGAGAGGUGAGUGGAACUGCGAGUGUAGAGGUGAAAAUUUCGUAGAUAUUCGCAAAGAACACCAGUGGCGAAGGCGGCUCACUGGCCCGGUACUGACGCUGAGGUGCG